CAACACUCAACAUGAACAACACUUACUUGGAAUAGACAUCAGCCGUUAGAAUACCAGUAGUGUUAAAUAAAAACCUGCUCAGUGCAUAGCUAAAGCCAUGUAGGAUAUCUUGGAAAGGGAAACAAACAUAACAAAAACAUCAAAAGAACAUUUGUGUCAAAUCCCGAGGGGUACAAGAAUUUACCAAAGGGCUACUGAAAAAAAUGCACAUUAUGAGAUUGCACCAAGAUUGCAUGCUGCUGAAGAACUUGUGUAUAUGGGCUUAAAGGGACAUUGUAGGCACUAUAACCAUUUCAUCACACUGUCCCUCCCUUCAGGGUUAAACCAUUUUCAAGCAAUUUAUGAAUGAGGGUCCCUGUCUUCUAAUAGCCCCACCCACACUGGAGGUGUGGCUAAGGCACAGAUUACACACUUCCUUGUAGCCAUAAUGAUUCAUCCUUUGUACAGCGCUACGGAAUCUGAUGGCGCUAUAUAAAUAAUAAAAUAAUAAUACCAGCAAUGCUAUUGUGAUAAGCUUAAAUAAGUCAUCUGAAACUCUC